CUGAGCUGAAGCCAGGGUCAUGGGCCAGAAUGAACUAGCAUCUGAUCUGGAAUCUGCAGCCUUACACUCCUUGUGGCUUCCUGUCCUUCCUGUCCUUGAACUUCACUCUGUCCCAUAUGUACCAUGAGACUCCUUGGAACUCUCCACCACUUCUCCAGCCUCACCUGUCUAUGAUCCACCCCAUCUACCCUGGCCGUACCGGACAACUUUGAGUUCCCCAAAGAACCCUGUCGCCACUCAGGCCCUUACCUGGCUGUUUCCUUUCCUAGGGAUCCACCCUGUCUCCAUCCCUGGGAAGGUCUACUCCUCCUUCAAGACCCAGCUCAUGCAGUAGCCCCUGUGGGAAGCCUUUCUCAGUCUCCUCCUCACCCCACAUUUGGCUGUUGGGAAACCACUCCGCUUUGUACUUUCUGAUGCUGGAUUACAAAUGUGUCUAUCACUCCCCGGAAUUGAGUAUUGGCUCUGGAGGGCAGGAAUGAUGUGAUGUUCAUAUUUGUAUGAAGGCCAACAUAAGAUUAGAAGUUGGGCAAGGCACAGUGUGGAUGGUGGAUGGCUCACCUCUGCUCCAUGACAUCUGCAGCCCCAGAUGGGAAUAAUAAAAUGUUGGGAAGACAUCUUUCCUCUUCUACCCCACUCUCCCACCAGAAUCAUCAGGAGGCAUCUUUAUUUCUGUCUCAUGAUUAAUGGCAGCUGGGGCCUCAGCUGGGCUAUCAGCUGGAACAUCCCCCCACACACAGUGUUCUCUUCUCAUGGGCCAAUUUGAGCUUCCUCCCAGCAUGAUGGGCUCCAGGUUAAUAAGGCUAAAGUGUUAGCAUUUUUAUGACACAGUGCUAUGGAUUGAACAUCUCUCCCAAAAUUUCGU
rnacentral:lncRNA from 1 species